rnacentral:misc_RNA from 1 species
GAUGAAACUGUAUGUAACGUUUGUUAAUGUCUAUAGCAUUUUCGCAUUGGUAAAAUAGUAUAACAGUCAAAGCAAUAAUUGAAACACGCAAAGUGCAAUCUAUGAUAUUGAAAGAGAGUUUCUUUGCUAUUGCUUUGAAAGAUGAUUUCAUUAUUAUAGUUGCUGAUUCUAUUAUUAGUUUGAGCAUAUAUUGGGGUUCGAACCUUUUUUUGGUGCUU